AGUGAACGCUGGCGGUAGGCCUAACACAUGCAAGUCGAACGGCAGCACAGUAAGAGCUUGCUCUUACGGGUGGCGAGUGGCGGACGGGUGAGGAAUACAUCGGAAUCUACUUUUUCGUGGGGGAUAACGUAGGGAAACUUACGCUAAUACCGCAUACGACCUACGGGUGAAAGCAGGGGAUCUUCGGACCUUUCGCGAUUGAAUGAGCCGAUGUCGGAUUAGCUAGUUGGCGGGGUAAAGGCCCACCAAGGCGACGAUCCGUAGCUGGUCUGAGAGGAUGAUCAGCCACACUGGAACUGAGACACGGUCCAGACUCCUACGGGAGGCAGCAGUGGGGAAUAUUGGACAAUGGGCGCAAGCCUGAUGCAGCCAUACCGCGUGGGUGAAGAAGGCCUUCGGGUUGUAAAGCCCUUUUGUUGGGAAAGAAAAGCAGCAGGUUAAUACCCCGAUGUUCUGACGGUACCCAAAGAAUAAGCACCGGCUAACUUCGUG
rnacentral:rRNA from 1 species